AAGUUGGACGUGAAAGCCUCCUGUUCAACGGGAGAAUUGCAUCUGAAACUACAAACCUUGAGUGUAGGAGGGGAGAAUGGAACUUCUGGUGGAGCGGUGAAAUGCGUAGAUAUCAGAAGGAACGCCGGCGGCGAAAGCGAUUCUCUGGCCUAUAACUGACACUGAGUGUGCGAAAGCUAGGGGAGCAAACGGGAUUAGAUACCCCGGUAGUCCUAGCCGUAAACGAUGGGCACUAAGUAGAGGGAAUUACCGGUGUUCUCUCUGCCGUAGCUAACGCAUUAAGUGCCCCGCCUGGGGAGUACGGCCGCAAGGCUAAAACUCAAAAGAAUUGACGGGGGCUCGCACAAGCGGUGGAGCAUGUGGCUUAAUUCGAUGCAACGCGAAAAACCUUACCGGGGCUUGACAUGAUAGAAGUAGGAACCUGAAAGGGGGACGAACGGUAUCCAGUCCGUAGCUAUUACAGGUGUUGCAUGGCUGUCGUCAGCUCGUGUCGUGAGACGUUGGGUUAAGUCCCCUAACGAGCGAAACCCUUGUUUUUAGUUACCAGCGGGUUAUGCCGGGUACUCUAGAGAGACUGCCGUCGUCAAGACGGAGGAAGGUGGGGAUGACGUCAAGUCAUCAUGGCCCUUAUGCCCCGGGCUGCACACGUGCUACAAUGGUCGGUACAAACGGAAGCGAAG
rnacentral:rRNA from 1 species